UCUCUUGUUAAUGCUUGGGAUUGGUUUCAUUGAAUGCCUAACUGCAUAAGCUUGAGUCUUGGUGCUGCUUGGAUCCAACGAGGGAGUUUGAAUAGCUCCACAGCAAGAGAGGAUGGAAGAGCAUCAUGGGAAGGAUGCCUUACUGCUCUUGUAGAGUAGCUAUCCUCAUCUCCUCUCAUCCCCAAGUUGGCCCAGUUGCACGUGAAGGGGGUGCAACCCAGAGGGUGUAAGCCAGAUUUGACAGUAGAAGGCAUUGAAUUUUGGACUAACUUGCCAAGAAUCAGGGCAAUGCUGGUUGAUGGGUCUGGGCCAAGCAUGUAGUUGGUUCCAAGAGGAUAGAAAUUCCUGAACCCUGAAGGCCAGAUACCUGCUCAGGGCCAAGACCAUACCCUGGACCCUUGAAGCAAGAGCUUUCCUCACUCACUCCCACAAGUCCCCCCAUCCUGAGGUUUUAGUGGGCGAGCUCUGAUGCCUUCCCUGCUGGAGAUGCUGAACCAAGACAUCAGUCUAAAUCCUUGUCUAGCCCUUUGUCUCCAUGCUCUAAUCCCUGAUCUGAAACCAACAUUUUCCUCCAAACAAAGCCCCUCUGAAGGACCGGGGCUUUGUCCUGGCUCCGCGGAGGCUCCAACCCAGGCAUCCUUCCCCAAUGAUUCACAUCAUCCGCUGCAUCACACUACUUUCACAACAACCAGCUGACAACCUCCAGCGACUAGGGGUCUGUUUCGCCUCCAAGAUGGCUCAGAGUUCAGAACAGUCCCACCUGGAUGCCACAUGAGGGCUCUGCCAAGAAUGAGCUUCCCCUCAGCUGAUCAUGCCUGGAUAAGAGGAUCCUGGGAAUCCACUGGGGAGGAGACCAUCUGGGCCAGUGCUUUGACUGUUUAGUAAAUUAAAGCCUCUGACUGUCAAUGUCUUACUUACACAAUUUUCUUUAAAAAAUUGUUGUGAUGAAAAUACUGUUGAUUAACAAUGUUGUACCCCUGGCUGCUGUACAUCAAUAGGAGUCUGAGCUCCUCUUCUGCAGCCCGGACCAAGGUCUGGCUGAGAAUGAGCAGGAGCUUAAGUCGUUCUUCACCCAAACCCAAUCUGUCCCCUGGAAACUCCUCAUCCUUCUUCAGACCCUGCAGUGGCAGGGAUAGAGUCUUCUAUCCUCUUAAAGGGACCUUUUAGAGACCCUCAGCUUGAAGACCCGACCCUACGUCUCCCUCUACGGAUCCCCAGUCAGACCCUCCUUCCCUCAGUUACCAAAUGUUCACCCCAACAAACCUACUGGCACUGUCUCUUCUCAGCACACUACCAGCUAAUAGCCGACUACCUGGUGAGCUUAUCGUCAUCGACCCAUGGAAAUCCUACUUGAAAAUCCCAGUUUCGUUCCUGGUAAACAAUUUCUACAUUUAAAGUGCAAUUAUUUGGCUUCAGAAGUUGAUAUGUGCAUUCAGAAGAGUGGAGCUAUAAAUGCCCAUUGCCAUCAGGUGCACUGAAGGAUAGAACCAGGGUCCCCCUGCAUUGCAUAAACGCAGAGUAGGGUAUUACCAGGGUUAGUGUUAUGGGAGAAGGUCUGUACAUUGGAAAUAGGCAGGAGUAUAUUCAUAAAUUAGGAAACUAUUUGAGGCGCCCAACCAGAAAGAAAUAAUUAAAACUCUUAAGAGUAAUACAAAAUGGCUGUAUACGACAUUUAUAUCUCUGUACACAAACUGAAGUGGUAGAAAGGAAAACAAAAAAAUCAGAGAACAUUUUCACUCAGGGUAAACUACGCCAUUCGAUGGAACAGCCUUUAGAUCAGUAUCAACAUUCCUUCCCAACAACAAUUCAGGUUGCCCAUCAUCCAGCACUCGAGGGGUGAAGGGGACAGCCUCCCAGUUGUGGCCCAACACGCACCUCUUCACUCUCAGACUGGCAGUUGGACCGCAGGGCUCCGUGGGCAUCAUCCCAUUGCCGUGGCAACAGGUCAAGGCCUGGAACUUUCAGAGGGAAGGCAACUCUGCCCCCUCUGGGCCCACCUGCUCUGUCUAGACUAGUGUGUAUUUCUACGGACAGGGAUGGCAGUUCAGGGUCAACAUGUUCUCUCAAAAACUGCAUCCCAGAACCACACGGUAUUACUCUCUGCUUGAGAAAACAAGACAGGUGAGAGAAAAAGACCCACGUUCUAAAUAGACUGGAUACUGACAAUAAUUAAGGAGUGAGGAAGAACAAAACAGGCGAAGGCCUUUCCAUGGGAAGGAGGCUUUACGGCUCAGGGAGAAUGUCUACUGUCAUUUUCCCUAAUCCGCAUAUCAUGCUGCUUUAGAGGAAGAGGGUGCAAAACAGGGGCUCGGCAACCCCUAUCUUCCAGCGGACACCACUGAAACUUAGAGCAACUUCUCAAGAGUCAAGCCAGUCAUGCGUGACGGAUCUGGGACAAGAGUGCAGUUGGUUCCCUCAGGUCACAGAUCCCCCUGAACCACUGAGACCUGCUCGGCGCUGAGAUCAUGCCCUGGACGCGUGCUUGAAUCCAGGACUCCCCUUACUCUCUCACUCUCUCUCUCUGUCAAAUCCUGCUGCCCCAAGAUGUCCUGGGGUGAUCCUGGAGAACAUAUCGGAGUCAGGAGAGCAGGCCAAUUCUUUACCCAACAUUUCGCCUCUAUCUUCCGACCCCCAAUCCAAAACAUACAAAUGUUCGUCCAAAAAGAGCUCCUCUGGAGGACUAGAGAAACUCCAACUCGCCCCAUCCUCCCCCAAUCUUCCCAUUAUCAGCCCUUCAUGGUGACCAGCUGACCACCUCCUGUGAACAGCAGUCUGCUUGCAUCCCCAAUCUCACUCAGAGAUCAAAACAUCUUCAACCAAGUUCACAGGAGGGCUCCAGCAAGAAUCAGCUUUCCUGCAGCAGACCACACCUGGACGAUCAGGGCUUGUGGAUUCGCUGGGGAGGUGGCCAUCUGGAUGGUGCUGGACGGGGGCGGGGGGGGUGGUUAGGAAAGGAAGUCUGUGACUCUCCAUGUCUCGCUGACUUUGCAUCAGAGCACCAGUCUGAGCAACCUUGACCAAGGCCUGGCUGACAAGGGGCCAGAGUGCAAGUCUUCUAUCGCCCAAACCCACUCUAUACUCUGGACACUCCUCAUCCUUCUCUAGACCUGAGAGCGGCAGGGGCAGAGUCCCCGCUCCUCCUAGAAAGACCCCCUCCAGACCUCAGCUUGAAGACCCCACCCCGGGUCUCUCUGAGGAUCACCAGAGAGACCUUCCUUCCUUUCCUUACCCAAUGUUCACCCCACUAACCUGCUGGCACUGGCCCCUGGCACCACACUACCAGCUAGCACCCAAAGAGCCAGUGGGAUGGUCCUCAUCCACCCCUGGAAAUCCAACCUGAAAAAUCCCCGUUUCUUUCUCCAUUGAAAUUCCUCUGCCUUUGGAGUGCUAGCAGGUGGGUUCAGAUAUUGCCAUGUACGUUCAGAAGAGUGGAGCUGUAAUGUCCCCCUUCUGAAUGUCCACUGCAGGGCUGACAGUGAGGGCCUCAUGCUUCAAAAAAGGCAGAGGAGCAUGUUUGCAGUCUCUGUGCUCUGGGAGAACGUGUUUCAAACUGCCAUGAGACAUGAGUCUUUUCUCAAAUUUAGGAAAAUACGUGAGGCAGUCGGCGCACUCGGAGCAUUAAGGUAUGCCUUAGUCAUACAGCAAGCCUAUAUAACAGACUUAUGGCUCGAGAGACUGAUGAGACUGGUGACAAUGAAGAUAAAGACAGAGAUAAUAUGUUCAGUCAAAAUUAACCACCCAUCUGAGGGAACAGCCUUUAGAUCAGUAUCAACAUACCUCCCGAACAACAACUCAGGUUGCCCAUCGUCAAUUACUUGAGCAGUGAAGGGGAGAGCCUCCCAGCUGUGGCCCAACGCUCUCCUCUCUACGCUCACACUGGCAGUUGGGUCACAAGGCUCUCUGGGCAUCAUUCCAUUGCCGUGGCAACUGGUCAAGGCCUGGAACUUUCAGAAGGAAGGCAACUCUGCCCCUCUGGGCCCACCUGCUCUAUAUAGCCGAGUGGCUGUUUCCCUGGACAGGGUCAACACUGUACUUCAAAACUGCAUCCUGAAGUCAAGCAGUAUUAUUCUGUUUUGAAAAGACAUUAUUUGAGAGAAAAAGACCUCCCCAAAUAUAAUGGGUAUUCAACAUUUAGGGAAAAGGCAAAAAACCUAACAUACUCAGAUUUAAAAGGGCUCCCAUUUUUUGAUGGAAAUACCAUUUCCACUCAUUUCUAGUAGUUGAGGCACCAGUCAUUUUUACAUUCCAUAGGUAACAUUUGUUCAGAAGAAAGAGGGUAGUUAUAGAAAUUAAAUUGUAAAAGGCCACACGCUAAGCAUAUGCUCAUCAAAUUGUAAAAUUCUUCACUCACUGACCACGUGUAGAAUUUUUCUCUGGAUGCAACAAUCUGUACACUUGAUUAUCUUCCCAUUGGUUCUUCACUAACAGUGUCCCUGUCAUUGUAUACGUACAAAACUUACUAUGCCUGAACAGUUAGGAAACAAAGACUCACCCUACUUUCAACAGAGGGGUGUCUUAAAACAGGUAUCUCAUGAUUUUCCAAGCAACAAACUUUAGGUAACUCAAAGCUCUAGGAUUAAAUGUAUUCUUCUCAAAAUUCAACCCCUCAUCACACCAGUUCCUGGGAUAGUGUCAUGAAAUCUGACUCGAAAGCAAAGUGAGCACCAGCCCACAUGGAACAUGAGACAAUUCCAGGAGAAAACUGAGAGCAUUGCAAUAUUUCAAGCCAAGCAGGGAGGGUGUAAGGUAUGGGAGGCUGUGAGAGACAACUCUGCCAUGGCUGAUUCACCCCAAAUAUCUAAAACAACAAACUGAGAAACCGAAUGCAUCACUUUUCAGCAGGACAACAAGGGAGAUGGUGUCCUCUUUUCCUCCCUGUAUCUAUGAGUCUGUCACUCUUUCGUGUAUUUGUUCAUUGGUUCUGGGUAUUAGACUGCACAAAUCAGGGACAUCACACAGUAUCUGCCCUGACUUGUCUGACUGUGGCCUUCAGCAUAAUACUUUCUAAGCUUACCCAAGGUGUAGCCAAUGGCAAGAGGCCACUCUCUUUUCUGGCCGAAUACCACUGCACUGCACAGGGACACCACAUCUUCUUGACUCAUCUCCCAGUGGACACAGGCUGCUGCCAUAUCCUGGCUGGUCUACACAUUAUCAUGUGCUGUUGUGAAAAGAAGUUUUGUGAGAGAAAA
rnacentral:lncRNA from 1 species